rnacentral:rRNA from 1 species
UAGGGAAUCUUCCGCAAUGGACGAAAGUCUGACGGAGCAACGCCGCGUGAGUGAAGAAGGCUUUCGGUUCGUAAAACUCUGUUGUUAGGGAAGAAAAAAUGUAUAGUAACUAUAUACAAAAGAGACGGUACCUAACCAGAAAGCCACGGCUAACUACGUGCCAGCAGCCGCGGUAAUACGUAGGUGGCAAGCGUUGUCCGGAAUUAUUGGGCGUAAAGCGCGCGCAGGUGGUUUAGAAAGUCUGAUGUGAAAGCCCACGGCUCAACCGUGGAGGGUCAUUGGAAACUAAUAAACUUGAGUGCAGGAGAGAAAAGGGGAAUUCCUAGUGGAGCGGUGAAAUGCGUAGAGAUUAGGAGGAACACCGGUGGCGAAAGCGGCUUUUUGGCCUGCAAAUGACACUGAGGAGCGAAAGCGUGGGGAGCAAACAGG